CGUAGGUCCCGAGCGUUGUCCGGAUUUAUUGGGCGUAAAGCGAGCGCAGGUGGUUUAAUAAGUCUGAUGUAAAAGGCAGUGGCUCAACCAUUGUGUGCAUUGGAAACUGUUAGACUUGAGUGCAGUAGAGGAGAGUGGAAUUCCAUGUGUAGCGGUGAAAUGCGUAGAUAUAUGGAGGAACACCGGUGGCGAAAGCGGCUCUCUGGACUGUCACUGACACUGAGGCUCGAAAGCGUGGGUAGCAAACAGGAUU
rnacentral:rRNA from 1 species